CGCUAGCUACAGGCUUAACACAUGCAAGUCGAGGGGAAACGGCAUUGAGUGCUUGCACUCUUUGGACGUCGACCGGCGCACGGGUGAGUAACGCGUAUCCAAGCUUCCCAUUACUGUGGGAUAACCUGCCGAAAGGCAGACUAAUACCGCAUAGUCUUCGAUGACGGCAUCAGAUUUGAAGUAAAGAUUUAUCGGUAAUGGAUGGGGAUGCGUCUGAUUAGCUUGUUGGCGGGGUAACGGCCCACCAAGGCUACGAUCAGUAGGGGUUCUGAGAGGAAGGUCCCCCACAUUGGAACUGAGACACGGUCCAAACUCCUACGGGAGGCAGCAGUGAGGAAUAUUGGUCAAUGGACGGAAGUCUGAACCAGCCAAGUAGCGUGCAGGAUGACGGCCCUAUGGGUAGUAAACUGCUUUUGUAUGGGGAUAAAGUUAGGGACGUGUCCCUAUCUGCAGGUACCAUACGAAUAGGGACCGGCUAAUGCCUGCGCAGGAGCCGCGGUAAUACGGAAGGUCCAGGCGUUAUGCCGGAUUUAUUGGGUUUAAAGGGAGCGCAGGCUGGAGAUUAAGUGUGUUGUGAAAUGUAGACGCUCAACGUCUGAAUUGCAGCGCUUACUGGUUUCCUUGAGUACGCACAACGUUGGCGGAAUUCGUCGUGUAGCGGUGAAAUGCUUAGAUAUGACGAAGAACUCCGAUUGCGAAGGCAGCUGACGGGAGCGCAACUGACGCUUAAGCUCGAAGGUGCGGGUAUCAAACAGGAUUAGAUACCCUGGUAGUCCGCACAGUAAACGAUGGAUGCUCGCUGUUGGUACCUGGUAUCAGCGGCUAAGCGAAAGCAUUAA
rnacentral:rRNA from 1 species